rnacentral:lncRNA from 1 species
CCGGGAGGCUGCUCUGCCGGGGCGUGCGGCCCAGGCUGCGGGCAGCGAGACCCCUUGGGGGGCGCUCUGAGAAGCCAUGUGGGUCCCAGAUGCCAUGGGGAGAGGCCGCCGUUCAGGGUCCAGGGUGAUGAGCCCCUGCCUGAGGUGCCCGUGGAGAGGCUCUCCUGCUGCGGGAAGACGCUUACAACCACCACCAAGAGGCUCCAGGAGAUGUCAGAGAUAGCCAAGCCGCCCCAGGAGAUAUCAGACACAGAUGAGCUGCCUACUGUGGCCCUACCAGUCAUGCCCAGCAGGGUGCCAUCCCCAGAGACUGGGAAGGAUCCUUCUGGGAUCAAGCUGCCUCCCUGGCUUGGGAAGUGGGGGACCAGCCCCGAGGAGGAGUCCCCCUCCACACUGCCGGCGCUACCCUCCACCCCACCCACGCUGGCAGAGAAGCCCAGCCAGUCGGUGCCCCAGCGAAGCCACGUGACCCAUGACUGGCAGAAGGAGGUACUCGUGGAUCCCCUGGACUCUCGGCCACAGAAGGAUUUGUGCAGUGAGGACUUACAGCAUGGCUACGAUGGACUGCCAAUCCACCAGUUUCUCUCCUCACUCACUGCCAGCUCCCUCCCGAAGAACUGCCCACCCCUCAGGGCCAUGCUGCUGGGGCAAGGUGAGGCUGAUCCCAACAAGCUAUGUGCACCCCAAAAAGGCAGCAGGGGAAUCUUAGCUGGGAGGCUGAUGGCACCUUCUCCUCUGCAGGACAGCGGAAGGCCACACUGGCAUCCAUGCUCUAUGAGAAAUACAGGCAAGCCUGCACUCCCACAUGAGAUCCACCCUUGGGGCUAUGCCCCAGAGGAGGGGACCUGGGGAGGCAGGGAUCCCAGAGCUGAGAGGUGUGGGGUCUGCUCUGACUGCAGUAAGGAGACAGAGGAGGAGAUCCAUCCCCGCCCGAGGCGCAUGGAAUCUAUCUCCACCACACAUCACGACUACCGUGCCAUGGGUUUCCAGUCCACACCCCAGCCCACCACCCAGGUACAGGCAGUAGGCAUCCCCUACCAGCUUUCAGCAGCCUCCAGGGAGGCAGCAAGGCUCUUGUCCUUCUGAGCAUGCCAUCCCCUCCAGCUCACAUUUUGCUUUCACUGCAGCGUCACAAUUACUUAACGGAGCAGCCAACCAGCUUCUGGCUGGAGCAAGCCCGCGGGCAGCCGGUAAGGCCCCCACCAGCCUGUCCUGCCAGUACUCUGGGAGUCUCAGCUGCUGACAGACAUCUCUCCAAUUCUCUCCUCUCCAGGGUGUCACUGCCCUCUUCGGCAGAAACAUUCCCUUCAAGAGGAAUGCAGACUUCUCCACUCCCAUUACCAUGUACUUAGGGCAUCCCGAGCCCUUCAACCUCUGUGACCCUUAUGACCCCCUGAGCAGACAGCUCCAGUCCCACAAGUAAUAAAACACAAGGGGACACAGGUGGUCCCA